GCCGUCUUAGCUCAGUGGUAGAGCAACGCACUUGUAAUGCGUAGGUCAUCAGUUCAACUCUGAUAGACGGCU
rfam:Spirochaetaceae bacterium 4572_7 ex4572_7_scaffold_6649, whole genome shotgun sequence.